rnacentral:lncRNA from 1 species
AUCUCCGCCUCCGCCUCCUCCCUACAAGUAUGAAUCGCCGCCUCCGCCUCCCUACAAGUACGAGUCGCCGCCUCCACCACCGUACUACUACAAAUCACCUCCGCCGCCCCCAUACAAGUAUGAAUCGCCGCCGCCACCACCAUACAAGUAUGAAUCGCCGCCGCCACCACCAUACAAGUAUGAAUCGCCUCCUCCACCACCAUAUAAGUACGAAUCGCCACCGCCACCACCAUACAAGUACGAGUCGCCUCCUCCACCUCCGUACAAGUAUGAAUCGCCUCCUCCCCCACCAUACUACUACAAAUCACCACCACCACCUCCUUACAAGUAUGAAUCUCCCCCUCCACCUCCAUAUUACUACAAAUCUCCACCCCCGCCACCACCUUACUACUACAAAUCACCACCACCACCUUCUCCUGUCUACAAAUAUAAAUCUCCACCACCACCACCUUACAAGUACGAAUCUCCUCCUCCACCUCCAUACUAUUACAAGUCUCCACCACCACCGCCGUAUUACUACAAGUCUCCACCACCACCACCUCCAGUUUACAAAUACAAAUCUCCUCCUCCGCCACCAUAUUACUACAAAUCACCACCUCCUCCAUCACCAGUAUAUUACUACAAAUCUCCUCCUCCACCAGCGUAUUACUACAAAUCUCCCCCACCGCCUGUCUACUAUUACAAAUCCCCGCCACCUCCAGCUUACCACUACCAAUCGCCACCCCCACCAAGUUACAAGCUGGUAGUGGUCACGGGCAAGGUCUAUUGCAACAGAUGCUGGAACACCACAAGCAGAUACCUUCAGGCAUCACCACAUGGGUCUGCUAGGUACAUUCUCAAUUGCAUUGUAUUCGAUAUUGUUCUCCUCACUCAUUUCCUCUUGAUACUGUGUGCAAUAAUGCAGGUGGCAAAGUGAAGAUCACAUGUGGCGAAUCUUACUACUACGGCUACACCAACAAGCAUGGAAUCUUUAGAAUUGAGCUCCCGCACCAAUCCUGGGAAGAAGCAAGCAGCUGCAAGGCCAAGAUUAUCAAGAGCAGCUACAUCAAGUCGUCAUGCAAUGUCAUCACGGACUACAGGUCUGGUGCAACAGGGGCCAAGCUCAAGUUCAAAUCGAAAACAGAGAAGGAGCUCGUCUUGACAGCCGGUCCUUUCAUCUAUGCAACUCCAGAGCCAUCGUCAGUCUGCUUCUACACAUCACCUCCCUAUGAGUACAAGUCACCUCCGCCACCAACACCGGUCUACCAUUACGCCUCUCCGCCACCUCCGGUCUACUACUACAAAUCGCCACCUCCUCCUUCACCGGUUUACUACUACAAAUCCCCUCCUCCUCCUUCGCCGGUCUACUAUUACAAAUCCCCGCCUCCACCACCAUACUAUUACAAGUCCCCACCUCCACCUCCGCCUAAGUAUUACUACAAGUCGCCCCCACCACCGUCUCCAUACUAUUACAAAUCCCCGCCCCCUCCACCGUACUAUUACAAAUCCCCACCACCACCUCCCUACAAAUACGAAUCGCCGCCGCCUCCUCCUUACAAAUACGAGUCCCCACCUCCACCACCUUACUAUUACAAGUCCCCACCACCACCUCCAUACAAAUAUGAAUCCCCGCCACCUCCAGUCUACAAAUAUGAGUCUCCGCCACCCCCAGUUUACAAAUACAAGUCGCCACCACCACCAUACAAGUACGAGUCACCACCACCACCUCCAUACAAGUAUGAAUCCCCGCCACCUCCACCUUAUUACUACAAGUCCCCUCCACCACCACCAUACAAGUACGAGUCGCCACCACCUCCUCCGUACAAGUAUGAAUCUCCACCACCACCAGUUUACAAAUACAAGUCACCUCCGCCGCCACCUUAUUACUACAAAUCCCCACCGCCACCUCCAUACAAGUACGAGUCUCCACCUCCUCCUCCGUACAAGUAUGAAUCUCCACCACCACCACCUUAUUACUACAAAUCCCCCCCGCCACCUCCAUACAAGUACGAGUCACCGCCUCCUCCUCCGUACAAGUAUGAAUCUCCACCACCGCCAGUUUACAAAUACAAGUCACCCCCGCCACCACCUUAUUACUACAAAUCCCCGCCACCACCUCCAUACAAGUACGAGUCUCCACCUCCUCCUCCGUACAAGUAUGAAUCUCCACCACCACCUCCUUAUUACUACAAAUCCCCGCCGCCACCUCCCUACAAGUAUGAAUCCCCGCCACCACCUCCCUACAAAUACGAGUCACCUCCACCACCACCUUACUAUUACAAAUCUCCUCCACCGCCUCCAUACAAGUAUGAGUCGCCACCACCACCAGUCUACAAAUACGAGUCUCCGCCACCCCCAGUUUACAAAUACAAGUCGCCCCCUCCACCUUAUUACUACAAGUCUCCGCCACCCCCGCCAUACAAAUAUGAAUCCCCACCUCCACCUCCCUACAAGUAUGAAUCGCCUCCUCCUCCACCUUACUACUACAAGUCCCCUCCACCACCUCCCUACAAAUAUGAAUCCCCGCCACCACCUCCCUAUAAAUACGAGUCACCACCACCACCACCUUACUAUUACAAAUCUCCUCCACCGCCUCCAUACAAGUAUGAGUCGCCACCACCACCUCCCUACAAAUACGAGUCACCACCACCACCACCUUACAAGUAUGAAUCCCCACCUCCACCUCCGUACAAGUAUGAAUCACCUCCACCGCCUCCAUACAAGUAUGAAUCCCCUCCUCCACCUCCCUACAAAUACGAGUCACCACCCCCACCACCUUAUUACUACAAAUCGCCUCCGCCACCGGAGUAUCAAUCACCUCCUUACGUGUAUAAAUCUCCAC